GGUUAGAUGGCCGAGCGGUCUAAGGCGCCAGACUAAGGAUCAGAGCAUUUGAUGCUUCCCCAGACGAAUAGGUUCCAUUCGUUAUCUGGUCCGAAAGGGCGUGAGUUCGAAUCUCACUCUAAUCA